ACCACUGAAAAUAACCAAGAUACUUCCAUCAUAUUAAGCUUCAAAGAUCGACCUGUUUCUCAAUCUCUUCUCAGGAAAAAAAACAACACUGGACUACUUUCACUGGUUAAUUUAUUCGACUUAGCUACAGCAAAACAAUAAAGGCACAAGAAUUACCUCAACUUGUAUAACAUUUAAUACAGCAGCAUCUGUUGGGGUGCUUGUUUAAAAGGUUAGUCUUCUGCUAAAAUCUUUCCUUACAAGUUUUCAUCUUCUUGAGUAUCAUCUGCACUUAAAAGAUGAUUAAGUUUGAUUCUUUGCCUUUUUUGUUCGGAUGAGGCUUCCUUAGUAUCAUUACUUUCUUCACCCUUCCUCUUAUUCGAAUUUCCAUUGUCCUGUUCUUCCUUAUCUUCCACAACAGAAGCUUCUCCACUGGCAGUCUCCAGCUUAUCUGGCAAUGAUGGUUUAGGAUUGGAUUCUUCAGCUUCCUCUUUUGCAUUCACAUUUCCCUUUUUAGAUGACUGCUCACUUUCUUCCAGAAACAAGCGGAUUUCUUCCCUGCUUGCAAGAUCAAGAGGGGUCUUUCCUGCUUUUGUCUUAACGGCAAGACUUGCACCUUUCUUUACCAAGUACUUGACUAGCUCAAGAUUAGAACCUUGAGCAGCAUAAUGAAGUGGAGUUAGGCCCUUUCUGGUCGAAGUUUUGAUAGAGACCCCAGAGGAAAGCAGAGUCCGGACAACUUCCAAAUGACCCUUUUGGGCAGCAAAAUGAAUUGCACCCAUGUCAUCCAUAGCAGCAGCGCCAACAUCAGCCUUGUUUUUGCAUAGGUAAUUCACCACAUGUGCAUGCCCUGACCAAGCUGCUAAAUGCAAUGGAGUCCUGGAAUGCUUAUCUCUGGAGUUAACUGCCAGAGGGUUUGAGUUGAGAAUUGACUGAACCGCAUUCAAGUCACCGGACCUUGCCGCUGCAUGAAGGUCUACUUCGCCACCGCCUCCUCCUGCUGUUGCCCUUGGCCCUCUUCCCAUUAUCUCUUCCUUUUUCGCUUUGAUUUGCUACUCCUGCGUCGCGGUUUCGGAAGAUCUUUAGGAUUGGCUCAG
rnacentral:misc_RNA from 1 species